CAACGUUUCAGAGGUCAUACUGCCUCCGUCAUCAGGGCUGUGAGAACCUCGAGUCUUACAUAAUAUUUAUUAUUUGGUAAUGAGUAUGAAUUAUAAACUUCUCAUUAUGCAGUUUUACCCAGCCUCCCUUGAAGGGCCUGUCUAUGUCCAUCCCUUAAUGUGAUAGAUAAAGUUUUACACCUAUAUAAAACAACAGGUAAAAUUAUAAUCCUCUACAUUUUCAGCUCAGCUGUGUGUACUGCUGUCUGCCUAACACCAUUCAGCACCUGAAAAAAGUAAUUUUUGCACCUAUUCAAAGAACUGAGCGAACCUGCAAGCAGAUCACCACUUAUCAUUAACAAACAUCUGAGGAAAACCAUGACAGCUGGUCUCCAGGAGAGAACUUGAAGUUUAGUCUCUCAAAUGAGAAGCACUCGGUGGCCAGCCUAACACCGCAUGUACCUGCUGUGGGGCACCUCGGCUGUUGACGUGGAGCUGCUCCAUUAUCUGCGUCAGCAGCCCUGAGCUCAAGGCCUUAUUAGCUCGCAGAUCUACAACCGCCAGGCUCACGUUUGACUGCAGCAUUUCCAAUGCUGCCCUACCACCAGUGUUGCCAAUCCCACAGUCCUGCAGAUCUAGGGCUGCCAACACAAGAAUAUGUGUCAACACAAUAUAACACUACCUACUUUGUUACAAGGUACAAGUUAUCUGAGUGGUCCUGCUGCCAUGGAAUCUGACAUUCUAGUUCAAUCCAUCUCUCACCUUUCAGAAACAGGUCAUCCCUAGCAGCGUUCAUAAGGUCUCGCUGCACCGCUGGAUCUUCUGGUACUGCAAUGAGGUCAAAUCAACUCUGCAAGAUCACGAGUCAUGAACAUCACCCCAAUCGACCAAGUAUCAGGCAUGGACCUGAAUCUGCACGGUUAAUUAUCCGAUCACACUGGCAACGUGACACACAAACACUUUGUUCCUCUUCACUCAUCACAAGAAGCAACAGGGAUAACUGUUUUGUUGCAUGGGUACUACUGACAUGUCUUAACUGAAUGGAUGGAAGCGUACUGUUUGCUGACAUUGGUAACACCAGAACAGUAUCUUUCAAUUGGAGAUGUUUUGUGAAAAUGUGGAAGACAUUUAAAUUCUGUACUCUGAGGAGAGUCCCCAAAACUGCUACUAUGAUCUUUAGACCACG